UUCCUUGACCAAAAUUUUGGUCCUGGUUCACUCAAUCCAUCUACUCCUGCUGCUCUAGUGCUUUGUGCAACUGAGUACCAGCAUCUUCAGCACUUUAAGUUACCAGCUUAUAGUCCUUAUGAUAACUUCGUAAAGGCUGCUGGUUGUUGAUGCUGCAAGGACAAGAGCAGCUCUCAUGAGGUUCAAACUGUUUAUCAGAGUUAGGAACUCUGAGUGGUACGCUGAGGGUGACAAAGGCUUUAGUGCUCCUUGUUGCCACUGUUUUUUGGAAUCUUAGCAUAAGGGAAUCAACUACUGAUGGAUCAGCCAUUCAGCAUUGCCAUUUCGUUUUGAUGUCAGUUAGGUGUGAAGCUCAAAUUCUAUGGAGGAGUAAAGAAUGAAGCUCUGGUAGCACAUUUGAGACAGAAAUUUGGAGUUCUUUUCCUGCUGGGUUGAAAUCUUAGCAUACAGGUACUAGCAACUAUUGAUGGA
rnacentral:misc_RNA from 1 species